rnacentral:rRNA from 1 species
GAGGCAGCAGUGGGGAAUAUUGCACAAUGGGCGCAAGCCUGAUGCAGCCAUGCCGCGUGUGUGAAGAAGGCCUUCGGGUUGUAAAGCACUUUCAGUAAGGAGGAAAGGUUAAGUGUUAAUAGCACUUAGCUGUGACGUUACUUACAGAAGAAGCACCGGCUAACUCCGUGCCAGCAGCCGCGGUAAUACGGAGGGUGCGAGCGUUAAUCGGAAUUACUGGGCGUAAAGCGUACGCAGGCGGUUUGUUAAGCGAGAUGUGAAAGCCCCGGGCUCAACCUGGGAACUGCAUUUCGAACUGGCAAACUAGAGUGUGAUAGAGGGUGGUAGAAUUUCAGGUGUAGCGGUGAAAUGCGUAGAGAUCUGAAGGAAUACCGAUGGCGAAGGCAGCCACCUGGGUCAACACUGACGCUCAUGUACGAAAGCGUGGGGAGCAAACAGGAUUAGAUACCCUGGUAGUCCACGCCGUAAACGAUGUCUACUAGAAGCUCGACUCUUCGGAGUUGUUUUUCAAAGCUAACGCAUUAAGUAGACCGCCUGGGGAGUACGGCCGCAAGGUUAAAACUCAAAUGAAUUGACGGGGGCCCGCACAAGCGGUGGAGCAUGUGGUUUAAUUCGAUGCAACGCGAAGAACCUUACCUACACUUGACAUACAGCGAACUACUAGAGA